UAAUUAUUGUCUUUGUUUGUAAAAUGACUCCGAUGGUUUGGACUGAAUUUAUAUCAACAUACAUUUAGCGUUUUCUCUGUUUGUAAAUGU